UGUUACAGCCAUCUCACCCUGCAGCCCAAGACCGGUUACUCACUGAAGCUAAGCAGGGCUGAGCCUGGUCAGUACCUGGAUGGGAGUCCACUAGGGAACACUAGGUUGCUGUUGGAA
rfam:Danio rerio chromosome 16, GRCz11 reference primary assembly.